CCCCUAAAUCCUUAAGAUGUUCAUCAUGCCAUUAUGUGACAGAAAUUGGACCCCACAACAUUCGGCCACCGAUUUCUGUACUUCAGGGGUUUUCUGGUCCAACCUGAAAUGCUGCAUAUCAAAGAAAGCUCAUUAUUAUCGCUGAUCUUCUGCAACAAUAUGUUCUGAAAGACUAAUCCUGAAGCUUCUAAGGUUAUUGCUUGUUUGAAACCCAUUUGCUUGUCAUUUGAGUCUGAAGAAAAUCAGCUUGAUGAAGCACAAUGUGGGCUUUCUAAGCAGGAGGCCUUUGGAACAAUAUUUUUGUUGUUUCUUUUAUAGCCUUAAUUAUCAUCUUUUGAAUUUUAAUUUGUUCAAAUAUAGCUUUAUUAAAAAUUUUAGAUAAGCCAAUAUAUAAAUCAGUGAGUCAGAAUUAGCUCAA